GGCGGUUGUGUCCCCAAGGGCCAUUCAGGGCGGAAGGGAACAGGGAAAACCGCUGUGUUGAUUCCCGGGCCCUGUAGGCUGGGAGCGCGGAGGGUCAGGUUACAGACAGUUCACCACAGGCACAUGCAGCGACUCGGUGGUUCACAGCUGUGACCUGUGUGGCAAGGGCUUCCGUCUGCAGCGCAUGCUGAACCGUCACCUCAAGUGCCACAACCAGGUGAAAAGACACCUGUGCACCUUCUGCGGCAAGGGCUUCAACGACACCUUCGACCUGAAGAGGCACGUCCGCACACACACAGGCAUUCGUCCCUACAAAUGCAAUGUCUGCAAUAAAGCCUUCACCCAGCGCUGCUCUCUGGAGUCCCACCUGAAGAAAAUCCACGGGGUGCAGCAGCAGUACGCCUAUAAGCAACGGCGGGACAAGCUCUAUGUCUGCGAGGAUUGCGGCUACACGGGCCCCACCCAGGAGGACCUGUACCUGCACGUGAACAGUGCCCAUCCGGGCAGCUCGUUUCUCAAAAAGACAUCUAAAAAACUGGCAGCCCUUCUGCAGGGCAAGCUGACAUCCACACACCAGGAGAAUACCAGCCUGAGUGAGGAGGAGGAGAGGAAGUGAGGAGAAGGAAGAGGAGGACAGAUGUUCACACUGCCACAUAUGUCUACGUGGAUUUUUGGUUUUCAGCGUCCCCCACCCCACUGGCUGUUCUUAAUUAGAAGUGACCAGUUCACCUCUGUGUCCUUUUGAAACAUCAGCAGUAGGGUCCAUUCCAAGAUUGUCAGUUACCGUAGUGACGUCAGGCCCUGUAACCUGUGUCCUGUCUGGCGCAGUUGCUCACAUUCACCAAAGUUUAUUUUCAUGAUCCUGAUGGCCAAGAACACCGUGUGGGAUUUUUUUUUCCCCCAAGGAUUUUCACACACGGAAGGAGAGGUAUUUCUUAGAGAGAUCAUCAUUUUAUGGUGCCUUGAAAUAAAAAUACUUCUACUUGAAA
rnacentral:sRNA from 1 species